GCCCUUUUAGUUCAGUGGCAGAACAGCGGUAUCGUAAACCGUUAACGUCAGUUCGAUUCUGACAAAGGGCU
rnacentral:tRNA from 1 species